UGGAUAGUCUUAGAGUUUCGUAUACCCUCAUGUAGAUGUAGGAGGCAAGGAGCACACUCGGAUUUCUUUAACCAGCAGCAAGAGUUGAGUUUUUGGAGGAGAUAAGGGGUGGCCGUGGGUGAAGGAAUUUUCAGAUGAGAGAAGAAGAAAAAUUUGAAGAAAUCCAAUGAUGAAACUACCUCAACAAUUACAUUGAUUUCUGCUUAUUAGACCAUUAAUUUUGAUUCUCACAGAGAAGAAAUUGCUAACACUUUGUAGUGUAUAGAAGAGACAUUGAGCAAUUUUUAUUUUUUUUUGAGUAUUACUGACUAUAUUACAAUGCAGUAUCAGGCUCGAAUCCACCCCUUUUAUAUGAGAAUGUAAUCGGGUACCACUAGACCACAAGUUCUUAGCGACAUCAAGCAAAUUAAAAUGUGGAAGAUAAUUAAUUUUUGUGCCUAAUCAGAUGGAAGGGAAUGAAAACUAUCACUGAGAAUCAGACCAGACUUAGCGGAAAUUAGAAGAUUAUCAAGGCUGCUUGCAAAAAAAGAAGAUUAUCAAGGCAGAUACCAAACUAAUCGCUGUAAUCCAGAAAUUAGAUACUCUCUAACACAGGGAUUGAUCAGGCUUCACCAAAAAGUUGAUGCUAUUAAUGAUACAAAAAGGGGAAGAAGAUGUAAGCAGCCUUUUACGGUUAGAAGAAAUUACUCCGUACAACGUCUUCUCCAAGUACUUCAAGGUGCAUUGUGCCAUGCAUAUUCUUCACGGGAGAAAGUAGUUAGCUCGCAUGGACAGCUCAAAUAAUCGCAGGAGUAAAGUUUGGGAACAGAGAAAGGAGUUACAAGGAAUUCACAAGUUCUCAAAUCAAAAAUCUUUAAGGGAACUCAUAAUCUAUGGAGGAUACAAGGAUGGCAGACGGGUGUAUCCUAAUUCGUGAGACGGGUUCGGUUAAGAUCAAAAUGUAAUACUUAUACUGAAAAUUUUAAUACUAAUUAGAAAUAAAAUGUUUGUUACAUAUAAGAUAAAGUGUAUUACUUUCGAGAAAAAAAUGUAAUACUUUUACGGUCCA